UGAGGAAUAUUGGGCAAUGGAGGCAACUCUGACCCAGCCAUGCCGCGUGCAGGAAGAAUGCCCUAUGGGUUGUAAACUGCUUUUAUUUAGGAAUAAACCCUUCUACGUGUAGAAGGCUGAAUGUACUAAACGAAUAAGCACCGGCUAACUCCGUGCCAGCAGCCGCGGUAAUACGGAGGGUGCAAGCGUUAUCCGGAAUCAUUGGGUUUAAAGGGUCCGCAGGCGGACGUAUAAGUCAGUGGUGAAAUCCUGCAGCUUAACUGCAGAACUGCCAUUGAUACUGUACGUCUUGAAUUCGGUCGAAGUGGGCGGAAUGUGUAGUGUAGCGGUGAAAUGCAUAGAUAUUACAC
rnacentral:rRNA from 1 species